AGUUAAUAAAUAUAGUUGUGUCUUGAAAACACAUAAGAGGAGUUAAAACCUCCUGUUAACUU
rnacentral:tRNA from 1 species